AAAUUGAGCAAAGCAGGUAUUGAGAUGGCGCGACUGGCUGGGUUGAAGAGCUCGCGCUCGAAUAAGACCCUACCACCGCUUUUUGAGGUUCGCUCCUCGAGAGUCGCCCAAUUGUUUUCCUCUCGCCGAUUGGGGUCAAGUAGAGCUAUUGGUCUUCAGCAGCUGGUGCAGUGCGCUUAUCGGGGAGAGAAGUUGGUUACUUCGGUGGGCUUGGUUGCAGGGCCACUUCAAGGGCAAGCAGCAACGCUAUUGGACCACUCAAGCGAAAUCGACUCAUCAACUGUUUCGCCCUGCGCAUGCGCGCACGUUUGUGCCUGAGUGCGGAUUGGCUGCCCACGCGCCCAUGCAGGGGACGGAGCCCCCAGAGAGGGUUUUGUGUGCAAAUCAGGGGCUGGACACCCCCGCCUUCACACACAUGAGCUGAAUCCUCACGCAUGGCCGCUUAUAACUGCGGUCUUGAGCGGGGAGUGUUGUGCGCGCCGGGCCAAGUGGGGCUGCCCUCGAGAAGUGACCAAAGCAUCUAAGACACGGGCGCAUUAAACCUAAUGUGGGCAGCGCAUACAGUGAUGGAUGGGAAUGCACGAGGCGCCACAAUGCGAGUAGGACAUUAGGUGAGGGCCCACAACCCCUGGCCCUUGCCCUGGCCCAAAAGGGUGGUUCGGACUCUGGCCACAGCCGGCCCUAAUGUGCUGUAACAAACGC
rnacentral:lncRNA from 1 species